CGGGCGGAAGGAACCUUACCAGGUCUUGACAUCCUCUGACAACCCUAGAGAUAGGGCUUUCCCUUCGGGGACAGAGUGACAGGUGGUGCAUGGUUGUCGUCAGCUCGUGUCGUGAGAUGUUGGGUUAAGUCCCGCAACGAGCGCAACCCUUGAUCUUAGUUGCCAGCAUUCAGUUGGGCACUCUAAGGUGACUGCCGGUGACAAACCGGAGGAAGGUGGGGAUGACGUCAAAUCAUCAUGCCCCUUAUGACCUGGGCUACACACGUGCUACAAUGGACAGAACAAAGGGCUGCGAGACCGCAAGGUUUAGCCAAUCCCACAAAUCUGUUCUCAGUUCGGAUCGCAGUCUGCAACUCGACUGCGUGAAGCUGGAAUCGCUAGUAAUCGCGGAUCAGCAUGCCGCGGUGAAUACGUUCCCGGGCCUUGUACACACCGCCCGUCACACCACGAGAGUUUGCAACACCCGAAGUCGGUGAGGUAACCUUUAUGGAGCCAGCCGCCGAAGGUGGGGCAGAUGAUUGGGGUGAAGUCGUAACAAGGUAGCCGUA
rnacentral:rRNA from 1 species